ACCGAUAGCGCACAAGUACCGUGAGGGAAAGGUGAAAAGAACCGUGGGUAACGGAGUGAAAUAGAACCUGAAACCAUCUACUUACAAUCAUUCAGAGCCCUAUGAUUUAUCAGGGUGAUGGACUGCCUUUUGCAUAAUGAUCCUGCGAGUUGUGGUGUCUGGCAAGGUUAAGUGAAAACGAGCCGUAGCGAAAGCGAGUCUGAAUAGGGCUAUUUAGUCAGACGCUGCAGACCCGAAGCCAAGUGAUCUAUCCAUGGCCAAGUUGAAACGAGUGUAACAGCUUGUGGAGGACUGAACCCGUGCCCAUUGAAACGGGCUGGGAUGAGCUGUGGAUAGGGGUGAAAGGCCAAACAAACUUGGUGAUAGCUGGUUCUCUUCGAAAUAUAUUUAGGUAUAGCCUCAAGUCAUGACAAGAGGGGGUAGAGCUCUGAUUGGGCUAGGGCUGCUCGCCGCAGUACCAAACCCUGUCAAACUGCGAAUACCUUUUGUUGUAUCUUGGGAGUCAGGCGGUGGGUGAUAAAAUCAAUCGUCAAGAGGGAAACAACCCAGACUACCAACUAAGGUCCCCAAGUUCUAUUCUGAGUGGAAAAAGAUGUGUGGUUACUCAAACAACCAGGAGGUUGGCUUAGAAGCAGCCAUCCUUUAAAGAAAGCGUAACAGCUCACUGGUCUAGUGAUCAUGCGCUGAAAAUAUAACGGGGCUAAGAUAGACACCGAAGUUGUAGAUUAUGUUUCACACAUAGUGGUAGAAGAGCGUUCUGUGCAGCACUGAAGGCAUACCGGUAAGGAGUGUUGGAGCGCACAGAAGUGAGCAUGCAGGAAUGAGUAGCGAUAAGAUGCGUAAGAAUCGUAUCCGCCGUAAAUCUAAGGUUUCCUACGCGAUGUUCGUCAUCGUAGGGUUAGUCGGGUCCUAAGCCAAGUCCAAAAGGGGUAGGCGAUGGCAAAUGGGUUAAUAUUCCCAUACCAAUUGCAAUGUGCGAUGGGAGGACGCAUAAAGUUAGGCGAGCCAGCUGAUGGAAGUGCUGGUCGAAGGGUGUAGAUUGGGAGAGUGGCAAAUCCGCUCCUGUAUUUGAAACCUGACAGGCUCUCUAAGACCUUCGGGUCAAGGGGAGAAUCGCUGAUACUAUCGUGCCAAGAAAAGUCUCUAAGUUUAGUUGCAAUUGUCCGUACCGCAAACCGACACAGGUAGAUGAGAUGAGUAUUCUAAGGCGCGUGGAUGAACUCUCUUUAAGGAACUCUGCAAACUAGCACCGUAAGUUCGCGAUAAGGUGUGCCUACUCUAAGUAGGUCUCAGCAAAGAGUCCCUCCCGACUGUUUACCAAAAACACAGCACUUUGCCAACUCGUAAGAGGAAGUAUAAGGUGUGACGCCUGCCCGGUGCUCGAAGGUUAAGAGGAUGGGUUAGCCGCAAGGCGAAGCUUUGAAUUGAAGCCCGAGUAAACGGCGGCCGUAACUAUAACGGUCCUAAGGUAGCGAAAUUCCUUGUCGGUUAAAUACCGACCUGCAUGAAUGGCGUAACGAGAUGGGAGCUGUCUCAAAGAGAGAUCCAGUGAAAUUGUAGUGGAGGUGAAAAUUCCUCCUACCCGCAGCAAGACGGAAAGACCCCGUGGACCUUUACUAUAGCUUAGCACUGCUAAUGGGAAUGCCAUGCGCAGGAUAGGUGGGAGGCUGUGAAGUAAGGGCUUUGGCUCUUAUGGAGCCAUCCUUGAGAUACCACCCUUGGCGUUUUUGUUAGCUAACUGGCCUAAGUCAUCCUUAGGCAGGACAAUGCUUGGUGGGUAGUUUGACUGGGGCGGUCGCCUCCUAAAAAGUAACGGAGGCUUACAAAGGUUAGCUCAUGGCGGUUGGAAAUCGCCAGCUGAGUGUAAUGGCACAAGCUAGCUUAACUGCAAGAGAGACAACUCAAGCAGGGACGAAAGUCGGUCAUAGUGAUCCGGUGGUUCUCGUGUGGAAGAGCCAUCGCUCAAAGGAUAAAAGGUACCCCGGGGAUAACAGGCUGAUCUCCCCCAAGAGCUCACAUCGACGGGGAGGUUUGGCACCUCGAUGUCGGCUCAUCGCAUCCUGGGGCUGGAGCAGGUCCCAAGGGUAUGGCUGUUCGCCAUUUAAAGCGGUACGCGAGCUGGGUUCAGAACGUCGUGAGACAGUUCGGUCCCUAUCUGCUGUGGGCGUAGGAAAGCUGAGGAGAGCUGUCCCUAGUACGAGAGGACCGGGAUGGACAUGCCACUGGUGCACCAGUUGUUCUGCCAAGAGCACCGCUGGGUAGCCACGCAUGGUUGUGAUAAGAGCUGAAAGCAUCUAAGCUCGAAGCCAACUCCAAGAUAAGCUUUCCCUGAAGCUCGCAUGAAGACUACAUGUUUGAUAGGGUGGGUGUGUAAGUGCAGCAAUGCAUUUAGCUAACCACUACUAAUAGAGCGUUUGGCUUGUUUGC
rnacentral:rRNA from 1 species